GAUGAACGCUGGCGGCGUGCCUAAUACAUGCAAGUCGAGCGAACAGAUGAGGAGCUUGCUCCUCUGACGUUAGCGGCGGACGGGUGAGUAAAACGUGGAUAACCUACCUAUAAGACUGGGAUAACUUCGGGAAACCGGAGCUAAUACCGGAUAAUAUAUUGAACCGCAUGGUUCAAUAGUGGAAGACGGUUUUGCUGUCACUUAUAGAUGGAUCCGCGCCGCAUUAGCUAGUUGGUAAGGUAACGGCUUACCAAGGCAACGAUGCGUAGCCGACCUGAGAGGGUGAUCGGCCACACUGGAACUGAGACACGGUCCAGACUCCUACGGGAGGCAGCAGUAGGGAAUCUUCCGCAAUGGGCGAAAGCCUGACGGAGCAACGCCGCGUGAGUGAUGAAGGUCUUCGGAUCGUAAAACUCUGUUAUUAGGGAAGAACAAAUGUGUAAGUAACUAUGCACGUCUUGACGGUACCUAAUCAGAAAGCCACGGCUAACUACGUG
rnacentral:rRNA from 1 species